UACAGAGGGGGCAAGCGUUAUUCGGAAUUACUGGGCGUAAAGCGCGCGCAGGCGGGAAGGUAAGUCUGGAGUGAAAUUCCGGAGCUCAACUCCGAGCCUGCGUUCGAUACUGGACGGCUAGAGUCUGGUAGGGGGGAUCUGGAAUUCCUGGUGUAGCGGUGGAAUGCGCAGAUAUCAGGAGGAACACCGGUGGCGAAGGCGGGUCUCUGGGCCGUAACUGACGCUGAGGAGCGAAAGCAUGGGGAGCGAACAGG
rnacentral:rRNA from 1 species